GUUAUAGGAUCAAGUGACUAAGUGCACAUGGUGGAUGCCUUGGCGAUCACAGGCGAUGAAGGACGCGAUAGCCUGCGAAAAGCUACGGGGAGUUGG
rnacentral:rRNA from 1 species